AUGGACGAGCACCAGUCCGGGGAUCUCGUCAAGGAGCUCGUCCUCCGCCUCGUCCCCGCCGACUCCGGCGGCGCGCUGCGGUUCGCGCACCGGCUGCUCUCCAGCCGCCUCGCCCCGGCCGUCUUCCCAGACGAGCACGCGCUGGCGGAGUCCGUCAAGCGCCGCCUCGCCGCCUCCGGCCGCCCCGACGACACGCUCGCCUUCGCCGACCUCCACUCCAAGCUCUCCGCCCGGUCCCGCCCCGCCUCCCUCUGGCCGCUCCUCUACCUGCUCGACUCGCUCUCCCCCCACCGCCGCGGGGCCGCCGCCUGCCUCCCCGACCUCCCCACCGCCGCGCCGCCGAGGCAUGCCCCGCGGGCGCCCGGCACGCCCGCCGGCGGCGCGGCGCUCGUCUCCAAGGACCCGGACAACAUCCGCGAGAUCGCGCUGCGGGAGUACACCGAGCUGGUGCUCGACGAGACGGAGGUGUCGGAGGCCACGCUGGUGCGCGACGUGCUGUACGCCUGCCAGGGCAUCGACGGCCGCUACGUUCGGUACGACAAGGCCAGCGACACCUACGACCUGCCCGCCGGAGUCCGCGUGCCUGGCUCCACUCGCACCCUGGUACGCAAGCUGUGCGAGGUCGGCUGGCUGUUCCGCAAGGUGCGAGGCUUCGUUUCCGACAAUGUGAGCCGCUUGCCCUCUCAUGCCGCCACCGAGGUCGGCACUGUUGCUCAGGCCUUCUGCUCGGCUCUACAGGAGGAGCUGUCUGAUUACUAUAAGCUGCUUGCAGUUCUAGAGUCGUACUCGUUGCAUCCGAUCCCAACACCUGGGUCUGAUUCGGGUGUGUCAGGUAAUUACCUCUCACUGCGGUGUCUCGUUGUCUGGCUUGCUGAGCCUGCGGUGAAAAUGCGCUUGAUGGCUGUCUUGGUGGAUGGAUGCCGUGGCUUGAGAGGUGGUGGAAUGGCUGGUGUGAUCCAUGGGCACGCACAGCACGGGGAUCCCAUGGUUCAAGACUUUAUGGGCCGCUUGCUGCGGCGAGUCUGCUCGCCGCUGUUUGAAAUGGUCCGAAGCUGGGUGCUUGAAGGUGAAUUGGAGGAUGUAUUUGGUGAGUUCUUCAUUGUUGGGCAGCCAGUUAAGGCUGAAUCUUUGUGGCGGGAGGGCUACCUUAUUCAGUCUGAUAUGCUACCGAGUUUCAUUUCUCCGGUGCUGGCACAAAGGAUCCUCAGAACAGGGAAGUCAAUCAACUUUCUCAGAGUUUGCUGUGAUGAUAAUGGUUGGGCUGAGGCUGCCACUGAGGCUGCAGCCUAUGUUGGCACCACAACAAGUCGAGGUGGGCUUGGUUAUGGGCAGAUUGAUGCCUUGGAGGCAUUGGUGGUAGAAGCAGCCAAGAGGAUUGAUCAACGUUUGAUGGAUGUGAUCCAUAAGCGAUACCGAUUUAAAGACCAUUGUCUUGCUAUCAAGCGAUAUUUGCUUCUUGGGCAGGGUGAUUUUGUUCAGUAUCUGAUGGAUGUUGUUGGUCCAGAGUUGUCAGAACCAGCCAAUAGAAUUAGCUCCUUCCACCUUGCUGGCUUGCUUGAAACUGCAAUACGUGCGUCUGAUGCGCAAUAUGAUGACCGUGACAUCUUGGACCGGAUAAGAGUAAAGAUGAUGGAUCAUGGAGAUGGUGAUCGUGGCUGGGACGUCUUCUCCUUGGAGUAUGACGCUAGGGUCCCUCUGGACACGGUGUUCACAGCUUCAGUCAUGAAGAUGUACCUCAAGAUAUUCAACUUCCUAUGGAAGCUUAAGCAUGUUGACCAUUCUCUGACUGGAGUCUGGAAGACAAUGAAGCCUAAUUGCAUUGUUUCUUCUCCAUUCUACAAGGAAGGGACAAACAUCAGGGCUCAGUUUGUUUCAGUUCUUCGGAAAUGCCAAGUUCUGUUCAAUGAAAUGAACCAUUUUGUGACCAACUUCCAGUACUACAUUAUGUUUGAGGUCCUGGAGGUUUCCUGGGCUCGUUUUUCAGAAGAAAUGGAUGCAGCAAAAGAUUUGGAUGAUCUUCUCAUGGGACAUGAUAAGUAUCUCACUUCAAUUGUGGAGAAGUCCCUCCUGGGUGAGAGGUCCCUGGGAAUUUUGAGAAAUCUUUUUGCUUUGUUUGACAUCAUAUUGCAGUUCCGCAGCCAUGCUGAUAGGUGGUUUGAACGGAUAUAUGAGCUGCAACUAAGGGGAAAGAGUAAACUGAAAACAAAAUCGAAGGAAACAGGUUCAUGGCUGGAGGGGGGCAGAAAAGCCAUGAUUCAACUCGCAGGGGAACUUUUUCGGAAAAUGGGUGAAGAUUUGGAUAGCAUUGCAAAAGAUUAUACAGCUUCUCUUGAUUCAUUUAUCUCCCAGUUGCCCCUGCAGAAACACGUUGAUUUAAAGUUCCUUCUCUUCCGUUUGGACUUCACUGAAUACUACAGCCGUGUUUCGUCCAACAAAUGA
rnacentral:rRNA from 1 species